rnacentral:rRNA from 1 species
UACGUAGGGGGCAAGCGUUAUCCGGAUUUACUGGGUAUAAAGGGGGCGCAGACGGCGAUGCAAGCCAGGAGUGAAAGCCCGGGGCCCAACCCCGGGACUGCUCUUGGAACUGCGUGGCUGGAGUGCAGGAGGGGCAGGCGGAAUUCCUGGUGUAGCGGUGAAAUGCGUAGAUAUCAGGAGGAACACCGGUGGCGAAGGCGGCCUGCUGGACUGCAACUGACGUUGAGGCCCGAAAGCGUGGGGAGCAAACAGG